rnacentral:lncRNA from 1 species
UGCCGGGCCAUAUCUAUCACCUCUCUAAGGUUCAAAAGCAACUCCUUUGCAAAUUCAUGGAACUUCUAUUGUUAUAUCACGUUGUUUUCUUCAGUAUCAUCAUCUUUUUUUGGUCUCACUGAAUCAGGUUAAGAAGUGGAACGAGCAGAGGGAGAAUGGGAGAUUUGCAGGUCCCCUCUAAAUCAUCCGUUUGAGAUUCUCCUCAGUUGCUUUUGUGUCGGUGCUAUUGUUGUCUUAUGUUCGAAUUUGUGCUCCUAUAAUGUACUCUUUUCCAGCAAUCGUUGCAGAACAUAUGUGAUGUUUUUCUGUUGCACAAAUAACUCGGCAUGCUUAUGUAUUUUGUUAUCCAGUAUACUUAAAUGUACGCUUUCCUGGGACUUGGGAAUGCACAAUUAUGUUGUUGUGAUGUGACUGCACAAUGGUGUGAUGAUAUAUUGAUUCCAAG